AAGCGCAGCUAUGUAGGCCCCCAAAGCUUCAGCUUCCGGUAAAGAUGGAAAGCAGCGCUAUCGGGCAGGAAUUUUUCGUCGCUCUAGCUUGUUGGAAUCUCUAUGGUCACCCGUUCCACAGUUCUCUGUGGUCUGAAUUGGAACUCGGGAAGAGCAGCUCCGUCUUGGACUGGGGAGUUCUGCAGUGGUGUCAGCCUUGUAGAGAGAAAGAACGUCCAUUUAACCGUAUGAAUAGCUCACGAGCUGUAGGACUCCAGCUCCCAUCAGCCCCCGCUAGCAGUGCCAGUAGACAGGGAUGAUGGGAAUUGUAGUCUAGCUGAUCGCGGGCGGGCGGUUUCUCCGACGUAGACGAUCUGUAGCUCUCCUCCCCCAGCACAGCUGCGAUUGGCAACAAGGCUGCUGCCGAGAGCCAAUGAGGGAAGAGAAUGAGGCAGAGCGGGCCCGCCGCGUUUCAGGCCAACGGGCAGCAGCGGGCCGGAGGACGAAAAGUCGCUCAUUGGUUUAUGCCUAAGGAGAGAUGUGGCUGCAACAAGCAGAGGAAUGAGGAGUUACUUGGAGGAAGCAGGGGAAGUCUGCUCCUGUGGUUGGUGGGUAACAGACAUGUGACUCACACUGGCCUUCUGCUGAGCUUGCUCUGUGUGUGGAAGCAAGAGAGAGAGUGAGAGAGAGAAAAUGGCUGAAAAUGGAGGGAGAAAGCAGCAGCAGAUGGGAGCUGCUGCAGACCCGGCUUUUUUUCCUGCCACAAACUACUUAAAUUCCCGGCAGAUAUGGCUCUCACUCGACAAGCAGGUCUCCUUCUGUCUGUGUGAAGAGAUGCCACAACUGAACAAAUUGAAAUGAAUGCGCUCCUCCUGGCUGUUCCCCACAAAACUACAAAUCCCAGGGUUCCAUGGAAGAGGGAAUGACCGCUAAAUGUAUCUGCAGUGCGAGACACCACAUGUUUGGAGCUUCCUUCAUCUCACCUUGCUUCACACCCUGGUUGGACCCUGCCUUGCUAUGCCAUAGAGCUGGACAGUUUGCUCCACCCACUUAUGCAGGGUGGAGGCCCUGACAUUCCAGAUCAUUUGUCCACACCAGCGGAACUGCACUAUCUGGAUCAGAAGUCAAACCUGUUGGGACUGCUGCAGAAGCCCUGGCUUAAACCCUGAUCUUGUUUUUGAAAUAGUUUAAACCCUGGUUUAUACUCUCACCUUGUUUUCCCCGCAACCAGUACCAUCGCGAACCAAGAAUGGGUCCUUCACUCCUGGCCCCUUCAUGUAGUCCAAAGUGACACACAAGCGAUUCUGCACCCUUGCGUAAAUUAUUGCUGCGUUUUCUAUAAUAAAAGGCUUUUUACUUGGAUAUUCACACACCAACUUGCCACACUUGAGGUCCCUGCAAGUAAGC